UCGGACGUGGUGCGCGGUACACGCCCGCUCCUGCUGGUUCUUUCCCGAUCAAUUUGAAAGCGGGUACUCAACUGGGUUCGACUCCCAGCGUCCGGA